rnacentral:rRNA from 1 species
AGUGAAUAGAUACCCUGGUAGUCCAUGCUGUAAACGAUGUCAACUAGCCGUUGGGGCCCUUGAGGCUUUAGUGGCGCAGCUAACGCGAUAAGUUGACCGCCUGGGGAGUACGGCCGCAAGGUUUAAACUCAAAUGAAUUGACGGGGGCCCGCACAGGCGGUGGAGUAUGUGGUUUAAUUCGAUGCAACGCGAAGAACCUUACCUGGCCUUGACAUAUCCGGAACCCUGCAGAGAUGCGGGGGUUGCCUUCGGGAAUCGGAAUACAGGUGCUGCAUGGCUGUCGUCAGCUCGUGUCGUGAGAUGUUGGGUUAAAGUCCCGCAACGAGCGCAACCCUUAUCCUUAGUUGCCAGCGCGUAAAGGCGGGAACUCUAGGGAGACUGCCGGUGACAAACCGGAGGAAGGCGGGGUACGACGUCAAGUCAUCAUGGCCCUUACGGGCCAGGGCUACACACGUACUACAAUGGUCGGUACAAAGGGUUGCUAAGCCGCGAGGCCACGCCAAUCUCAAAAACGCCGAUCGUAGUCCAGAUUGGAGUCUGCAACUCGAC